rnacentral:rRNA from 1 species
UACGAAGGGAGCUAGCGUUGUUCGGAAUCACUGGGCGUAAAGCGCACGUAGGCGGAUUUGUCAGUCAGGGGUGAAAUCCCGGGGCUCAACCUCGGAACUGCCUUUGAUACAGCAAGUCUUGAGUUCGAGAGAGGUGGGUGGAAUUCCUAGUGUAGAGGUGAAAUUCGUAGAUAUUAGGAAGAACACCGGUGGCGAAGGCGGUUCUCUGGGCCUGUACUGACGCUGAGGAACGAAAGCGUGGGGAGCGAACAGG